rnacentral:misc_RNA from 1 species
GGGACUGCCGGACCGGUUCUACGAGAUUUACGUGGUCGACAGGGACAAGCGCCUGAAAGGCGCGGUGCCUCUCGAUGCGUUGCUGCGCGCGCGGCGGCCGGGGCCGAUCAUUCUGGUCGAGGAGGACCGCCGGCGGGUUUCAGAUCACGAGGACAUCGCGGAAGUCGCGCGGAUGUUCGGCAAGUACAAUCUUGUCGCCGCGCCGGUGACCGACAGCGAGGAUCAUCUCGUUGGCGUUAUCACCAUCGACGA